AGUGAACGCUGGCGGUAGGCCUAACACAUGCAAGUCGAACGGCAGCACAGUAAGAGCUUGCUCUUACGGGUGGCGAGUGGCGGACGGGUGAGGAAUACAUCGGAAUCUACUUUUUCGUGGGGGAUAACGUAGGGAAACUUACGCUAAUACCGCAUACGACCUACGGGUGAAAGCAGGGGAUCUUCGGACCUUGCGCGAUUGAAUGAGCCGAUGUCGGAUUAGCUAGUUGGCGGGGUAAAGGCCCACCAAGGCGACGAUCCGUAGCUGGUCUGAGAGGAUGAUCAGCCAAAUGGGAACGGAGACACGGUCCAGACUCCUACGGGAGGCAGCAGGGGGGAAUAUUGGACAAUGGGCGAAAGCCUGAUCCAGCCAUACCGCGUGGGUGAAGAAGGCCUUCGGGUGGUAAAGCCCUUUUGUGGGGAAAAAAAAGCAGCAGGUUAAUACCCCGCUGUUCUGACGGUACCAAAAGAAUAAGCACCGGCUAAUUUCGU
rnacentral:rRNA from 1 species